AGUAGACGCCGCCGCCCGCCCCUUCCAGCCCCCGCCCUCCAGCCCCAACCCCAUGGAGAUCGAGAUCAAGCUCCGGCUCCCGACGUGGCCGCACACUGGCGCCUCUCCUCCUUCCUCGCGCCCCGCCUGCUCCGCACCGACGCCCCCGCGUGGCCCACGCCGCCGCCGUCCUGCGAUCCAAGUUCCAACUGACGCAGCCGGAUCUCGUGCGAUCUCACAGCUGCCACCGCCGCCGCCGAACUCACAGUCGGAUUUCGUGCAAUCUCACAGCCGCCGCCGCCGAACUCACAGCUGGAUCUCGUGCGAUCUCGCUGCCUCCGACGUACGGAAGUCUUCACUGUAUGGGAUCGCCGCCACGGUACUGGAUCGCCGCCGCGGACGUAAGAGGCUGAAGCGCGGCGGGUGGGACAGGGUGUGCGUCGCGUUGCUGGAGAACUUCCUCGAACGAACGCUGUGGUGGUGCCAUUGUCCAUUGAUCUGGACGUCGGUAGAAAAAUUGAGGGAAAUCAAAGUCAGAAGAAUUGAAAAUACUAUGCACUGUGUCUACAAAAAGUCCAAGCUGCCUAUUCCUACAUAAGGAUAAGGAUCCACGAAAUCUGGAGGACCUUCAGACUUGGCUCUUUGCUGGGGCAAAGGGUGUGAAGCGGUUUGCCGCAGAUUCAGAGGCCAUUUGGUUCAUCCAUAAUCUUCAAUGCAUCCCUAUCCUGAUGCUUCUAAUUUUCACUGCCCUCGGGUUUUGGAGCAUUGUGUAACUUUAUUUGGUUCAUUGCAGGUGCAGGGAACCUAUUGGAUUUACAUCUUCUACUCUGUAAGUGCCCUUCCCAUUGUACCUCUUUUUUAUGUGUUGAAUCACUGGUUCCCAAGGCUGCCAAAUUGAUCUUUACCAACAAAGCUUGACAAAGCAGUGUUCGAGGGUGUGCCUACGUGAAACACAUGGUCUCCAUCACCCUUUCCUUCUAGAGCCGGUACCAGUGGCGGUCUUGAAGCGGUGGUGCCUUUCUAUACCAAGACUGGAUACAAAAUAAGGUUAAUUUUUGUUUGCUCUGACGAUAGGGAGGCAAGACCAGGAUCACAUUCUUGGCCCCGUUUGAAGGAACGACGAUUUUCAGGAUUGACGUGGAUUGAUUUUCUUGAACAUGAAGGUGUCAUUUUCAUUGCCAUUGAACACUAUAGACAAUUAGUUCAGAGUUAACUACAUGUGAAGCUGAAGCUAAGCCAAUGUGCUUUUCCAGAAGAAGGCCAAGGCACAUCAAUCCAACACCAACCCACCUGCUAUGGAACUAAGGGAGGAAGGAAAAAGAACAUUGCCCCUGAGGGCUCGAGACGCACAAACAGGAAGCUGAGUUCGGGAAAGGUGGUUGUCUCCUUGACGCACACCAUAGUGCCCAUCUUUUCUAUUCUAAUGUCUUGUUCCUUGGACAGACACCUUGUGCUUUGUGCAGACCAUCAAUGCCUUUUCCUCCUGUUCGGCCAGGAGAUGAAUGCUUUCUAAACAUUGGUAAUAACAAUGAGAUCAGAGAGUACUGCUCUAUUCAUUGCUCUUCUAAAUCUUGUGAGUGCAAGGCAGGCAAAGUGUUAACUGAAACCCCAUGGCCUACUCGCCAUCGUCAACUUCCUCUUUGCGCUCGCCGUCAACGCUCCCAUGGGCGGAGCCACAAGGGGAUGGAUGUACAUAUGUACACCCGUUAAUCUAGGGAUGAGGGGACGAGGACAAGAAGGCCACGGGUAUCAUGGUGGAGAAGGAGGACAACAAUGACAUUGAGGAAGGGCAGACAUGCCGCUCCAUGGCAACUACGAUGACCAGUUCCUUACUCACAAUACUGGAGAUCUUCAUACAACCCCAUAUGCAACAACACAAUUUCCAUUACUUAGCAUGCAUCAUAAUGAAUCAAAUUAGUAUCUCUUUCCUUAUUUUUGGCUAGGAUGGAUUUCCGUUUCUUGUGUAUAUACAGAUUUACUACUACUGCUACAUUGUUACUCCAUUAUACUAAGAGAUUGGGACCUGGUCUGAUCCUUCCUAUAUGUAGUUGUAUUUGUCAUGACAGAUAGAGAUACCCUAUGGCAUUGCA